GGAGCUCAGGGCAGUUCCCCUAAGUCCACGCUGUCUGCAGAGCCUCCAAAACAAGGAUGGUGGGCAGUGGGGCUGGAGACGUGGGUGGAGGAGAAAGCUUAGAUCCAUGUCUAACACCGGACUUUAUGCCUGAUCUUGUGCACAUGGAGAGUCGUUUAAAGAUUUCAAGUAGGACAACGACAUGGUCGCUGACCAUGAAAUAUCUAUUGUCAGAGAAGCUGAGAACCUGGGAGCAUGUUGGCACCUUGGAGCCACUUGGUCCAACUUUCUCACAUAGAAUGAGGACACUGCUGUCUGGAGGGAAGGAGCCCUCCUUCAAGGAGGAGGGUUUGAGAAUUCACUCCAGCAUGGCAAACAAGACUCUGGCUGUCCCCUGGGAAGAAGGGUUGAAUCUCAGUUGCUGUGGAUUUACCAGCAAAGAAUUAAUGCACCCUCCCUCUCCAGUCUUUCCACCCUCCCUCCCCCAAAGAAAAGACUAGACAUUUUGUGACCAGCUAUCUGGGUUCUUCUUGCCCCGGGGGAGAAGUUAACAAAAUCCUUGAUAACAGUCUCUGCAGCAGUGCUUGACAUGGAGGGACCAGCAGAGCCUCCCAACAGAGACAUCACCUUAAAAUGGACCACCUGGGCCUGGACACAGA